AAAGCACAGCUCUGGGCUGUCUGCACCAUGGCCUGGGCUCCUCUCCUGCUCACACUUCUGGCUCACAUCACAGGGGUUGAAUCGCAGGCUGUGGUGACUCAGGAAUCUUCACUGUAUAUCUCUCCUGGAGGGACAGUUACCCUCACCUGUGGCUCCAGUACUGGAGCUGUCACAACCAGUAACUAUGCCCACUGGGUUCAAAAGGAACCAUACCAAACCCUCAAGGGCCUAAUACACAACACCAACAUCCGGUACACUGGUGUCCAUGCCCGAUUCUCAGGCUCCUUGCUUGGAGACAAGGCUGUUCUCACCAUCACAGGGGCCCAGCCUGAAGACGAGGCCACGUAUUACUGUGCCCUGUGGUACAGCAACCAUUUCCACAGUUACACAUGCUUAUGGGGAAGUGAGACAAAAACACCCUUGUGCAGACUCACCCUGUUCUCCUGA